UACAGAGACCUCAAGCGUUAUCCGGAAUCAUUGGGCGUAAAGCGUACCGAUAGGUGGUUUUAUAAGUUUUGCCUAAAAUACCGAAGCUUAACUUCGGUCUCGGGUAAAAUACUGUAAAACUAGAGGGGCAAAGAGGUGCUUGGAACGAAUGGUGUAGUAGUGAAAUGCGUUGAUAUCAUUCGGAACACCGAAAGCGAAGGCAGAGCACUGGGUGCCACCUGACACUGCUAGGACGAGAGCGUGGGGAGCGAAUGGG
rnacentral:rRNA from 1 species